GUGGUAAGGAGACCAGAAGAUGU
rnacentral:piRNA from 1 species